rnacentral:rRNA from 1 species
UAAGGAAUAUUGGUCAAUGGACGCAAGUCUGAACCAGCCAUGCCGCGUGGAGGAUGAAGGUCCUCUGGAUUGUAAACUUCUUUUAUCUGGGACGAAACACUUCUUUUCUAAGAGGCCUGACGGUACCAGAUGAAUAAGCACCGGCUAACUCCGUGCCAGCAGCCGCGGUAAUACGGAGGGUGCAAGCGUUAUCCGGAUUCACUGGGUUUAAAGGGUGCGUAGGUGGGUAUGUAAGUCAGUGGUGAAAUCCCCGAGCUUAACUUGGGAACUGCCAUUGAUACUAUAUAUCUUGAAUACCGUAGAGGUGAGCGGAAUAUGUCAUGUGGCGGUGAAAUGCUUAGAUAUGACAUGGAACACCAAUUGCGAAGGCAGCUUACUAUGCGGUGAUUGACACUGAGGCACGAAAGCGUGGGUAGCAAACC